CCCCUAGACGUUCUGGGCUGCACGCGCGCUACAAUAAUACGCCCAGCGAGUAUCACCGAGCUCGAAAGGGCAAGGUAAACAAUAGAAAAGGUACUGUAAUGGUUAUAGAUCCUUGUAAUUAUUGAUCUUCAACGAGGAAUUCCUAGUAAGUAUGUGUCAUCAUCGCGCACUGAUUACGUCCCUGCCCUUUGUACACACCGCCCGUCGCUCCUACCGAUUGAGUGAGCCGAUGAAACUGCCGGAUGUGGACUAUUCAUAGUCUGCAGAAGAUAUUUGAAUCGUAGCGCUUAGAGGAAGGAGAAGUCGUAACA
rnacentral:rRNA from 1 species